rnacentral:rRNA from 1 species
AGACCUACGGGAGGCAGCAGUGGGGAAUAUUGGACAAUGGGGGGAACCCUGAUGCAGCGACGCCGCGUGAGGGAAGACGGUCUUCGGAUUGUAAACCUCUGUCUUUGGGGAAGAAAAUGACGGUACCCAAAGAGGAAGCUCCGGCUAACUACGUGCCAGCAGCCGCGGUAAUACGUAGGGAGCGAGCGUUGUCCGGAAUUACUGGGUGUAAAGGGAGCGUAGGCGGGCGAGAAAGUUGAAUGUUAAAUCUACCGGCUUAACUGGUAGCUGCGUUCAAAACUUCUUUGCUUGAGUGAAGUAGAGGC